UAAAGGGUGCCAGUUCAGAGUUUAGUCUACUAGUUCUUCCCCAGCUCCUGUUGAGAGAGGUCGGCCACCGAAUAUCACUAAAUCUUAGACACAAUACGUAAUGAUGAAGAAGAUUCACCUGUUGCUUCCGGUCACCCUGUGCCUUGGUCUCAUCCACAGCUCGUGGAGUUUUUCCUGCCCUUGCUUAGACUACGAGCCGGGGAGGAGAAACUGCCCUCCCCAGAAGACGCUGGAACAGUGCCCCCACGGGGCCACUUUCGACCCAUGUUACUGCUGCCCUAACUCCAGAUGCAAAAAUGGUCUUGGAGAAAUAUGUGGAGGUGACUUCGAUCUCGACGGGCCGUGUGGGGAAGGUCUCGUCUGCCUGCCCUACCUGGGGGGAGACUAUCCCGGCCUUUACGAGACCUGUCAGCUUGAGAACGUAACAACAACAACAACAACAGGAACACCAUAACCAACAUCUACAACAACAACAAGAGCUGCAGCUGCGCAAGACAGAAAAAAACCGUAGACGGUAGGAGAAUUUCCAGUCGUUUACGUGACAUGUCAUCCCGUGAACAUUGCAACAACAGCAGCAGUAACAACAACAGGAGCAGCAGCAAGAAGAAGAAGAAGAAGUACAACUACAACAGCAACAAUAGCAACAACUUUAAUAGCAACAGCACCAGCUGCGGAAGAAGAAUAAUAAAAAAAAAAAAAAACUCACCCUAGACCUAACCAUCAACGGCGCCAAAGCAGAAAAUCACGGCUGGAGAUUUCCCAGUUUUUUUUCACGAGACGCGACAACCUGAGAACGCAACAACAGCAAAAAAACAGCAGGAACAACAACAGCAAAAACAGCAGCAACAACAGCAACAGCAUUAACAGCAACAGCAGCUACGGAAGAAUAGAAAACAAAAAAAUUACCCUAGACCUAACCAUCAGCCGCGCCGGAGCAGAAAAUCACGGCUCUGAAAGCUGCAGUUUCGGGAGCAUCAUCAUCAUCGCUCCACAACUAUAGACUCAUGUCACUCCGUCACGCAUCUGCCCUUUUGAAUUUCCUCCUGGCGAACAAUGCACUCAGGAGGCGUCUCGAUAAAUUCGCCUUUAUGUACGUGCCUUUAAAUAAAUUGGUUUCCGUAAAAAAGAAAAUAAAUAAAUAAAAAAUGGCAA